rnacentral:lncRNA from 1 species
AUGCUGACCUGCAUGCCAGGCCUCUCCCAGAUCAUCUGCCUGAGUUGGGAAACCGGGGAGGUGCUCUAUCCCUGUCUCUUAAGAACAAAGAGCCCUAACUUGUUUCCUUGCAUUCUAGCAUCUGGCUGCUCCAGGGACCUGGACCGCAUGGUGGCGCCACAAAUCCGGAGGGCCCCGCGGGAGGUCCACCCUUGGGCGACCUUCUCUGAUAAGUGGCCCCUCCUCUCUGCACUCCCUCCCCUCAGAUCGGGCCACCCAUCCCUCCACAGAUGGGGCUACUCUCCCAGCACCCAGUCCCCCUGUCCCACCAAGGCCCUGGAGACCAGAAACCGCCCUUUGCUAGCAGGGUGGGGGGUGGGUUAUUUGGGUCACAUCCACACAUCAUCAGAGUAUGACUCUACAUUACUGUCAUAUCCGGUAACUAAUGAAAAAGAAAUCCUUUCUGGCAAUACCUCUUCCCCCAGCCAGGGCCUUCCUGUUCCUCCCAUAUGUGACAUGGGACCCAUCGGUACUGCCGCGUGCCCUGGGCAGCGCCAAGCAGCAGUUGUAAAUGAAACUGGCAGGCUUUCCUCCUCCCGUGGUAGCAGAUCUUUUAGUCUUGAAUAAAGGAUCUCUUAACAUGCUCCUUCCUCCCAGGACCCCCGGCAGUACUGUGCUUGACCUCUGGCCACAGACCCAGACCCUGCAGGGCUUCCCCCACUCCCCGCCCCCCAGCACCGACUCAGCGCACCAUCCUGCUUACCCUUCAAGGCUUGGGGUGGGAGGGGGAAGCUGGAUGGAAGGCUAGUCAAGAGGGUUACCCUUACCCUACUCCAUUCUCCCUUCUCCUGUCGAUCCUAUCAGGGGUCCAUAAAGCGAGGAGGACUCUGGCCCGGGAGAGGGGGGUAGGGGUUAGGCAAACAGGCCAGGGAGGCAGUUGGUUGAAGUUUAACCACAAUAUUCUUGGUCUCUAUUGUUUUGAGUGAGGCCCAAUAUUUCCACAGCAGGAUUAUAGAAUCUGAUUAACCAUGUUAGACAACAAUGCCGAGCUGGGAUGGGCUUCCCCUUCCAGCUGCCAAUAUGAAAAAGUAAAUAUAACACCCAGAUUUCAGAAGGGACUCUCAGCAGCCCCCAAGCCCUCCUCCCCAGUUCUAGCCCCGCUUCUGUUUGGGGACCCAAAGUGAGGGGAGGACGAGCGUGGCAUCGCACAUGCUCCUUUAACUCCUGGCCCUCGGCCCAGCAGGACAGGUAAUCCUGGUACAAUCUUCCCAGGUGAGUCAAUGGCUAUGUGCUCCCCACACCCUGGAGUCCUUCCAGGGCCUCUUCCGGGUUCCCCUGAGCUGGCCCAGACUCUCAGGAACCCAUGAGAGUUAGGUGCUGAGAGGCUAGCCGCAUUCAAAGGGUCCGGGAGUGUAGAGGGUCCAGCAGAAUGUUCUGGGCUCCCAGAGAGAGAGAGACCAAGCACGGGUAGGACUUAACAGCUUGGAAGAGCAAAGGAGCCUUUGCUGGAAGGCUUUGGUGCCAUGUCAUGACUUCCUGGACGCCAGGGUAAAGAAAUGAGACCCCAGAGUUGAGGAACCACCAUAAGGCAGCACCUCGGGAGACGGAACAACAGACAGAGGACAGCUGGGCUUGCAGCUCAAGGAACGAGGGAUCCCUUAGGUCCCUCUGUGUCACCCAUGUGCACACACACAAGCUAAUUCAGACUCUCCCUGUCUGGAUGUUUCCCCUCAGGAUGGGGUCUUCUGAUGCCCUGUCCGACACGGUGGGGGUGCGGGGAGGAAUACAGCAGUAAGGAGCAACAAGAUUAACUCGCAGCUUCCAGAAGGUCGUGGCGGUUUGGGAGAUCUCUCCCUCCAAAGUGGGACUCCCCCCGCCUUCCAUCGUUCCUCUCCGUAACUGAGUGCCCAGCAUAAUCCAGUGCAAGUCAGUGAGCCCACGUAUUUACUGAUAUCGGGAACAGGGUCUAGGAACCCAGAGCCAAGGCUCUGGCUCCGAGGCGGGGGUCUUCCUGUAGUAGGUCACUACUCCUUUUGAAGGGUUUCUUCUUUGUGAAAACUAGAAUAUAGAAAAUACUUCAAGGCAGAGCUUAGGAAAGCACACAUCCUGGGGCGCCUGGCCGGCUCAGUGGGUAGAGCGUGUAACUCCUGAUCCUGGGGUUGUGAGUUCGAGCCCCAUGUUGGGUGUAGAGAUUACUUCAAAAAGGAAAGAAAAGCAUACAUCCGGAUCUUAUCAAAACCCAGUUAACAUGAAGUUGCACCGUUUGCUAGUAUAAUCCCACCAUGGUGAUAUUUUCUGAAUUAGGGUCAAAAGCGGACUCUGUUCUCAAAGUGUAUUUUUACUCCUUGAGAGUAUGAAAGGAUGAAAACAGAACGCACACAGGGAAUAGGUGUAUAACACAGAUGACAUUAAUAGCUCAAAUAGCGAGGGGGUAGGCAGAACAGAGAAAGAGCUUAUUACAUCGUGAGGAUGGGUUAUUAAGAGGAUUGUAGGGUUCCCCUGUACUCUGGGGAGCAGAUCUUCCUAGUUUUGUAAAUAGGAGAACACGAGGGACAGCAUAAUGGUGGACAGAAGGAGAACCAGACCAAGCUGUGGCCUUUUCCAUCCCCCCAGCCCCCCCCCCCAAUGUCGCUAUCCAGAGGCAGACGGGCUCAACUCCCAACCGCCCAGUCGAGGAGCGGAGGUAAGAGCUGGGGGGGAUGGGAGGUUUCAGCGAACAGGAAGGCAAGACGUGGGAAUUCAAAUGUACCACUAGAUAAAAUUAAGAAGCAGUAGGGCUGAGUAUUGGGAGUCUUGACCUUCUCUCCUUCCCCCCAAGUGCUCCGUGGAGGUGAAGUUCAUCAGACCCCGGGGAAGCGACAGAUUUUUUCCUCGUCCGGAACCGUAGGAGCACUGAUCUCUUUGCUUCCUUACACUCCAGAAAUUCCAGGGUCAGCUCCUCCAGGUUCAGUGGGAACAUGCAGACUAGAAACUCCUUUUUCCCUUCUCAAUAACUUUUCUAGCCUUUGGAAACACUCCUUGAUCUAGGAGACGUGACAGAGCAGAGAAUGACCCCGGUGGGAUUUUUUUCCAGGCGGUGGCCAGGGCGCUGCCCUCAAGGCUGCUGGGAAGCCCUCAGUCAGGCCCGGCCGAAGGAGGUGCUGCCCAGUUGGCCGGCUAAGGGACGAAGAUUUCUCUUCCAGCAAAGAGCUUGCCUGUCCCAGCUGACUGUGGGGGGCAGGGGCACCCGUCCGCGAGGCCAAAUAGGCCUGGCAGCCUAGGUGGCGCUAUUUCCCUAUUUUUAGGUCAAAUUGCAAGAACUUCCUCGAGGUCCCUAGUCCUGCUCCUGGUUUGCUGGCUUGCUCCUGUAAACCACCUUAUAUUAUUUUUUUUUCUAAAAAUACUCCAAAGCAAUUGAAAGAGUCCCUUCUCCCAACAGCCAGCCCUGGCCCCAGCCCCGGCCCCGGGGAGCGGGCGGGUAGGCGGGGAGGUGGGCCACUGCUUUAUUAAACACAGGGAAAACUAAUAUUUACGGAAUAAAAUUUAUGGAGCAGCCACGAGAAUUCGACCCUUUUAUGUGCAUGUGGGGUGGGGGUUGGGCCAGGCUGGGGGCCUGGGGAGGGGCCCAAGCCAGGGGCAGGGCUGGAGUACAGCCUGGCCAGGCCAAUUUGUAGAGGCUGGGAUUUCCCUGGAGUUGCCCCCAGGAUUCUCAAUCACCACCCCUAGCUCGGAGGG